AAUGGAAAGUGGCUGCUUCAAGACAACAAUUUUGAAACGUGCCUAAGUCCAAAGGGUUUUCAACCAUGGCUACCUGGUCUUGGUCUUUAGGGACCUGUUUUCCAACAACACUUUUUCACUUAAUUAAAAUGUAAUUACUUAGGUUUUUUAAGACAAAUAUGUGUUUGGACUAUUUGUAACCUGUUGGAUUUGAAGUCUAAU
rnacentral:lncRNA from 1 species